rnacentral:rRNA from 1 species
AUUGAACGCUGGCGGCGUGCCUAACACAUGCAAGUCGAGCGGUAACAGGUGUAGCAAUACAUGCUGACGAGCGGCGGACGGGUGAGUAACGCUUGGGAAUCUGCCUGUUAGUGGGGGACAACCCGGGGAAACUCGGGCUAAUACCGCAUACGCACUACGGUGGAAAGCCGGGGACCGCAAGGCCUGGCGCUAACAGAUGAGCCCAAGUCGGAUUAGCUAGUUGGUAGGGUAACGGCCUACCAAGGCGACGAUCCGUAACUGGUCUGAGAGGACGACCAGUCACACCGGAACUGAGACACGGUCCGGACUCCUACGGGAGGCAGCAGUGGGGAAUAUUGGACAAUGGGGGCAACCCUGAUCCAGCGACGCCGCGUGGGUGAAGAAGGCCUGCGGGUUGUAAAGCCCUUUCAGUGGGGAAGAAAAGCCUCGAGUUAAUACCUCGGGGUCUUGACGUAACCCAUAGAAGAAGCACCGGCUAACUCUGUGACAGCCGCCGCAGUAAUAC